rnacentral:rRNA from 1 species
CCUACGGGUGGCAGCAGUGAGGAAUAUUGGUCAAUGGCCGAGAGGCUGAACCAGCCAAGUCGCGUGAGGGAAGAAGGUCCUACGGGUUGUAAACCCCUUUUGUCGGGGAGCAAAGCUACUCACGUAUGACUCAUUGAGAUUACCCGAAGAAAACGCAUCGGCGAACCUCGUGCCAGCAGCCGCGGGAAGACAGUGGAUGCGAGCGUUAUCUGGAUUUAUUGGGUUUAAAGCGUGGGCAGGCUGAGUUGCAAGUCAGCGGUCAAAUUGCGGGGCUCAACCCCGUACUGGCGUGGAAACUGGAUACCUUGAGUGCGCGAGAGGUAAGCGGAAUGCGUGGUGUAGCGGUGAAAUGCAUAGAUAUAACGAAGAACUCCGAUGGCGAAGGCAGCAUACCGGCGCGCAACUGACGCUCAUGCACGAAAGCGUGGGUAGCGAACAGGAUUGGAUACCCGUGUAGUC